UACAGAGGUCUCAAGCGUUGUUCGGAUUCAUUGGGCGUAAAGGGUGCGUAGGCGGCGAGGCAAGUCGGAUGUGAAAUCCCGGGGCUCAACUCCGGAACUGCAUUCGAUACUGCUUUGCUAGAUUACUGGAGAGGAGACUGGAAUUUACGGUGUAGCAGUGAAAUGCGUAGAUAUCGUAAGGAAGACCAGUGGCGAAGGCGAGUCUCUGGACAGUUACUGACGCUGAGGCACGAAGGCCAGGGGAGCAAACGGG
rnacentral:rRNA from 1 species